rnacentral:misc_RNA from 1 species
UUUCCGUAGGUGAACCUGCGGAAGGAUCAUUAUUGGAUUUUGAAACUUCAGGCUGCUGCUGGCUCUCCUCGGAGGGCAUGUGCACGCUUGUUGUCCAUUAUUUCUCCCACUAUGCACAAAUUGUAGACCUUUCAGUAGGCCUAUGUUGUUUUUCACAAUCUCUGAAUGUAAUAGAAUGGUUUUGAAUCUUGGGAAAUACAAUACAACUUUCAGCAACGGAUCUCUUGGCUCUC